rnacentral:lncRNA from 1 species
UGCUCCAUCAAAAAGGAUGAAAUAAAUGUGGUUUAUAAUGAACAUUUUCUCUCAACAGAGUUAACACUCUUCUUGCAAAGCCACAAAAAAAUGAAUUCUAUCACAUGCCACAAGGAAACUAUGAUUUUAAAAAAGGACACACAUGGAUCUAGAAUUGAUCUACUUUAAGCUAAAGAAUAUGAAUCAAUCCAUCAGCUCACUUAAACACACUUAGAAAAGGCAAAAGAUCAUUAUGAAUGUGGCUGGAACCAAUACCAAGGCCUCGAACUCAUGGUUCAAUGUUCCUUUCACCACUUGCUGAUGCCUCCCAAGCAGUACUUGAAAAUAAACAAAUUUUGGGUCUUCCUCUGUCACCCAGGCUGAAU